rnacentral:ncRNA from 1 species
CGGGUGAUGCCGUCGGCGGCCCCUUUGAGGCGUGCUGGCUCUGGAGAACAGCCCUGGCGAUCAUCCCUCCAUUCCUGGAGGUCAACGCCCUGGCUGCCACCUGGUACGUGCCGCUCUGCUGGCGUCAGAGCAGUGACGAUGACGCACCGA